UACAGAGGUCUCAAGCGUUGUUCGGAUUCAUUGGGCGUAAAGGGUGCGUAGGUGGUGCCGUAAGUCAGGUGUGAAAUCUCGGGGCUCAACCCCGAAACUGCACUUGAUACUGCGGUGCUCGAGGACUGGAGAGGAGAUCGGAAUUCAUGGUGUAGCAGUGAAAUGCGUAGAUAUCAUGAGGAAGACCAGUGGCGAAGGCGGCGACCUGGACAAUUACUGACACUCAACUACGAAAGCGUGGGGAGCAAACAGG
rnacentral:rRNA from 1 species